UCUUUUAGAAUUAGUUCCAUUUGUGGAAAUUCUUUGCUCUGUGCUGAAAGUCACCCCAAUUUCUUUGUUUUUCAAAUGUCAUCAACCUGAAGCUGAAUUUGUCUCCAAGUUUUCAGAACAAGGUUCUAAAGACUGCCAAGCAUCUCAGAAUUGCUCCAAUGUUGGAAAGGUAGGGGAACAACAACAACAAACAACAACAACAACAAAAACAAAAAAA